rnacentral:rRNA from 1 species
UGCCAGCAGCCGCGGUAAUACAUAGGGGUCAAGCGUUGUCCGGAUUUAUUGGGCGUAAAGAGCUCGUAGGCGGUUUGAUAAGCUAGCUGUGAAAGCCCCGGGCUCAACCUGGGAACUGCAGUUAGAACUGUCUGGCUAGAGUACAGUAGAGGGUGGCGGAAUUUCCUGUGUAGCGGUGAAAUGCGUAGAUAUAGGAAGGAACAUCAGUGGCGAAGGCGGCCACCUGGACUGAUACUGACACUGAGGUGCGAAAGCGUGGGGAGCAAACAGGAUUAGAUA